rnacentral:rRNA from 1 species
GACGAACGCUGGCGGCGUGCUUAACACAUGCAAGUCGAACGGAAAGGCCCUGCUUUUGUGGGGUGCUCGAGUGGCGAACGGGUGAGUAACACGUGAGUAACCUGCCCUUGACUUUGGGAUAACUUCAGGAAACUGGGGCUAAUACCGGAUAGGAGCUCCUGCUGCAUGGUGGGGGUUGGAAAGUUUCGGCGGUUGGGGAUGGACUCGCGGCUUAUCAGCUUGUUGGUGGGGUAGUGGCUUACCAAGGCUUUGGCGGGUAGCCGGCCUGAGAGGGUGACCGGCCACAUUGGGACUGAGAUACGGCCCAGACUCCUACGGGAGGCAGCAGUGGGGAAUAUUGCACAAUGGGCGGAAGCCUGAUGCAGCAACGCCGCGUGCGGGAUGACGGCCUUCGGGGUGUAAACCGCUUUCGCCUGUGACGAAGCGUGAGUGACGGUAAUGGGUAAAGAAGCACCGGCUAACUACGUG